GCCUCCUUAGCUCAGCUGGUAGAGCAACUGAUUUGUAAUCAGUAGGUCGCUGGUUCGAUUCCGGCAGGAGGCU
rnacentral:tRNA from 2 species